AGAUCAUGAAAGGUGAGCCCAUGAAAUUAAACUUUUGUUAAAAAGUGGAAGAACUUCAGAAUUGGAAGACCCCCGUCCAUGCAGUAAUCUCUUCAACAGCAUAUUUGGCAGAUGAUCAUCCAGGUCCAGUAUGGAUAUCACUACUGGCAGAGUUCACAAAAAUCAGACCAUCCUUUAUUGGCAACUGGGAUCUGGAUAACUUCUUUCCCAGUUUCAACCUCCG
rnacentral:lncRNA from 1 species